rnacentral:lncRNA from 1 species
GAGAGCCUGUUGUUUCUUAGCUUCCCAAAAAGCUGCAAGCAAGACAGUUUGUGGCCUGUCUACUUUGGAGGCAAUGAAUCAGCGCUGUGAGACUUCCACCUCUAGAGCAAUGUGGAACACAGCUUAGAGCAGAUGUUCCAACGAGGUGAGAUCAGGGCUGGAAACAAAGUGGGUUUCAGGUCUUUGUAUUAGAGGUUCCCGGUAGGCUGUAACAGCCCAGGGAAAAGUGAGAUCUUUCUCAACUUGCAAAAGAGAUGGAAUCAAGAGAGUCUGUGGCCUGUCUCCUCUUGAGUUUGCCAGGCAGGGCUUUGUGACUUCCACCUCUAGGGCAAUGUAUUACACCACAGAGCUGAAGGUCUUCUUCAGCCAGAUCAGGGAUGGGAAGAAAGUGCGUUUCACAGGCCUUUGUAAGAGAUGUUCAUGGUAGGCUCUAAGAGCACUGUGGAGAGUGAGUUGCUUCUUACCUUCCAAACCAGCUGGAAGCAAGAUGCUUUCUGGUUUGCCUGCCUUUAGGAAACAAUGCAGGACAUUUUGCCUUGCAACUCUAGGGCAACGUAGGACACGGCAGAGCAGAAGUUCUACUUCAGCAAGAUCAAGGCUGGGAAGAAACUGCGUUUCACAGAUCUUUGUGAGAGAUGUUCCCGGUAGAUGUAAGAGCACUAUUGAGAGGCAGUUAUUUCUUAGCUUCCGAGCGCUGGAAGCAAGACCGUUUGUGGCUUGACUUCUUUGGAGGCAAUGACUCAGCACUUUGUGACUUCCACCUCUAGAGCAAUGUAGGACACGGCAGAGCACAAUUUCUACUUCAGCGAGUUCAGGGCUGGAAAGCAACUGUGUUUCCCUGUCCUUUGUAAGAGAUUUUCCCGGUAGGCUGCAGGAGAACUGUGGAGAGCGAGUUGUUUCUUAGAUUCCCAAAGUGCUGGAAGCAAGACGCUAUGUGGGCUGUCUUCACUUGAAGGAAACGAGGCAGGACUUUGUGCCUUGCACCUCUAGGGCAAUGUAGAUCACGGGAGAGAAGAAGUUCUACUUCAGUGAGAUCACGGUUGGGAAGAAUCUGCCUUUCACAGAUCUUUCUUAGAGACGUUCCCGGUAGGCUGUAAGAGCACAGUGGAGAGUUAUUUGUUGCUUACCUUCCCAAAGAGCUGGAAAGAAGAGCGUUUGUGGCUUGUCUCCUUUGGUGGCAAUGAUUCACCGCUUUGUGUCUUCCAUCUCUGGAGUAAAGUGGGAUAUGGCUUAGAGCAGAGAUUCCAAGGCAGUGAGAUCAGGCUGGAAACAAACUGCAUUUCAGGCUUUUGUAUGAGAGGUUCCCAAUAGGCUGUAAGAGCCCUGUGGAAAGCGACUUCUUUCUGACCUUGCCAAACAGCUGGAAGCGAGACUGUCUGUGGCCUGUCUCCUCUUAAGGAAGGCAGGCAGGCCAUUGUGACUUCCAUCUCUAGGGAAAUGUAUUACACAGCAGAGCACAAGUUCUACUUCAGCGUGAUCAGGGCUGGGAAGAAACUGCAUUUCCCAGGCCUUUGUAAGAGAUGUUCCCUGAAGGCUGUAAGUGCACGGUGGAGAAUGAGUUGUUUAUUAGCUUACCAAAGAGGUGGAAGCAACACCGUUUGUGGCUUUUCUCCUUUGGAGUCAAUGACUCAGCGCUUUGUGUCUUCCAUCUCUAGAGUAAUGUGGGACAUGGCUUAGAGCAGACAUUACAAGGCAGUGAGAUCAUGGCUGGCAACAAACUGCAAUUCAGGCCUUUCUCUGAGAGGUUCCCGGUAGGCUGUAAAAGCCCUGUGGAAAGCAACUUCUUUCUCACCUUGCCAAAGAGCUGGAUCCAAGAGAGUCUGUGGUCUGUCUCCUCUUGAAUUUUCUAGACAGGGCUUGUUGAAUUGCACCUCUAGGGCAAUGUAUUACAUGGCAGAACAGAAGUUCUACUUCAACGUGAUCAGGUCUGGGAUGAAAGUGCAUUUCACAGGCCUUUGUAAGAGCUGUUCCCGGUAGGCUGUAAGAGCACUGUGGAGAGCAAGUUGUUUCUUAGCUGCCCAAAGAGCUGGAAGCAAGACCGUUUGUGGCUUGUCUCCUUGGAGGCAAUGACUCAGCGUUUUGUCUCUUCCACCUCUAGAGCAAUGUAGAACAUGGCUUAGAGCAGAUGUUCCAAGGCGGGGAGAUCAGGGCUGGAAACAAACUACGUUUCAGGUCUUUGUAUGAGAGGUCCCCAGUAGGCUGUAGGAGUCCAGGGGAAAGCGAGUUCUUUCUCAGCUUGUGAAACAGCUGGAAGCUAGACAGUCUGUGACCUGUCUCCCUUUGAAGAAACAAGGCAGGACUUUGUCCUGUGCACAUCGAAGGCAAUGUAGCACACGACACAGUAGAAGUUCUACUUCAGCGUGAUCAGGAUUGGAAAGAAACUGCGUUUCACAGGCCUUUGUACGGGAUGUUCCCGGUAGGCUGCAAG